rnacentral:rRNA from 1 species
AACGAACGCUGGCGGCAUGCCUAACACAUGCAAGUCGAACGAGACCUUCGGGUCUAGUGGCGCACGGGUGCGUAACGCGUGGGAACCUGCCCUUAGGUUCGGAAUAACUCCCCGAAAGGGGUGCUAAUACCGGAUAAUGUCUUCGGACCAAAGAUUUAUCGCCUUUGGAUGGGCCCGCGUUGGAUUAGCUAGUUGGUAGGGUAAAAGCCUACCAAGGCGACGAUCCAUAGCUGGUCUGAGAGGAUGAUCAGCCACACUGGGACUGAGACACGGCCCAGACUCCUACGGGAGGCAGCAGUGGGGAAUAUUGGACAAUGGGCGAAAGCCUGAUCCAGCAAUGCCGCGUGAGUGAUGAAGGGCUUAGGGUUGUAAAGCUCUUUUACACGGGAUGAUAAUGACAGUAACGGGAGAAUAAGCACCGGCUAACUACGUG